GGACAACCUACCCUGAGGAGGGGGAUAACCCCGGAAAACUGGGGAUAAUACCCCAUAGAUUAGGGAGGCUGGAAUGCCCCCUAGUUCAAGGGUCCGCCGCCUCAGGAUGGGUCUGCGGCCGAUUAGGUUGUUGUUGGGGUAACGGCCCAACAGGCCUUUGAUCGGUACGGGUUGUGGGAGCAAGAGCCCGGAGAUGGAUUCUGAGACACGAAUCCAGGCCCUACGGGGCGCAGCAGGCGCGAAAACUUUACAAUGCGAGAAAUCGUGAUAAGGGAACCCCGAGUGCCCGUAAAUUCGGGCUGUCCGCCAGUGCAAAAAACUGGUGAAGAAAGAGCCGGGCAAGACCGGUGCCAGCCGCCGCGGUAAUACCGGCGGCUCGAGUGGUGGCCGCUAUUACUGGGCUUAAAGCGUCCGUAGCUUGGUUGUUAAGUCUCCUGGGAAAUCCAUCGGCUCAACCGAUGGGCGUUCAGGAGAUACUGGCAACCUAGGGACCGGGAGAGGUGAGAGGUACUCCAGGGGUAGGAGUGAAAUCCUGUAAUCCUUGGGGGACCACCUGUGGCGAAGGCGUCUCACUAGAACGGCUCCGACAGUGAGGGACGAAAGCUGGGGGAGCAAACCGGACUAGAUACCCGGGUAGUCCCAGCUGUAAACGAUGCGCGUUAGGUGUAUCGGUGACCACGAGUCACCGAGGUGCCGAAGGGAAACCGUGAAACGUGCCGCCUGGGAAGUACGGUCGCAAGGCUGAAACUUAA
rnacentral:rRNA from 1 species